AACGAACGCUGGCGGCAUGCCUAACACAUGCAAGUCGAACGAGACCUUCGGGUCUAGUGGCGCACGGGUGCGUAACGCGUGGGAACCUGCCCUUAGGUUCGGAAUAACUCCCCGAAAGGGGUGCUAAUACCGGAUAAUGUCUUCGGACCAAAGAUUUAUCGCCUUUGGAUGGGCCCGCGUUGGAUUAGCUAGUUGGUAGGGUAAAAGCCUACCAAGGCGACGAUCCAUAGCUGGGCUGAGAGGAUGAUCAGCCACACUGGGACUGAGACACGGCCCAGACUCCUACGGGAGGCAGCAGUGGUGAAUAUUGGACAAUGGGCGAAAGCCUGAUCCAGCAAUGCCGCGUGAGUGAUGAAGGCCUUAGGGUUGUAAAGCUCUUUUACCCGGGAUGAUAAUGACAGUACCGGGAGAAUAAGCUCCGGCUAACUCCGUG
rnacentral:rRNA from 1 species